rnacentral:tRNA from 1 species
GCCUGGGUGGCUCAGUCGGUUGAGCGUCUGACUUCGGCUCAGGUCAUGAUCUCACAGUCUGUGAGUUCGAGCCCCACGUCGGGCU